UACAGAGGUCUCGAGCGUUGUUCGGAUUCAUUGGGCGUAAAGGGUGCGUAGGCGGCGUGGCAAGUCUGAUGUGAAAUCCCGGGGCUCAACCCCGGAACUGCAUUGGAUACUGCCAUGCUAGAGUACUGGAGAGGAGAUUGGAAUUUACGGUGUAGCAGUGAAAUGCGUAGAUAUCGUAAGGAAGACCAGUGGCGAAGGCGGCGCGCUGGACCACUACUGACGCUGAGGAACGAAAGCUAGGGGAGCAAACAGG
rnacentral:rRNA from 1 species